AGAAGUGGUCUCCUGAUAGAGUUUAAACAUUGUCAUUGACAUAGAACAUUCAAUCGUGUUGUUUUUCUAUUAGAAAGGUGUACUUUUGAGAGCGAAAACCUGCAGAAACGGAGAAAAGGGGGGAUUUGGGUGGUCAAUCAGGCAAAACAUUGAAGGGAUUUUACAGAGGGUUACCAGACGUCUCCGUUUUCCAGGGACAGUCCCCGUUUUUGGUGGCCUGUACCCGUUUUUAACUGUGCGUUAAAAACAGACUGCAAAGUGAAAUAAUAUUUUACGUGGCAAGAAAGACCGCGGAGCAGAGUCUACCGGUUGACGUCUCAAUCGCGUUGUGCUUGUUUUGUCCAGCAGAGGGCGCUGCUCGGUAUAUCAGCUUCAUUCACUCUUCUUCUUCUAACUACUUGCUCGCGCUAGUUUUAGAGAAAUCUGCUAUGGAAAACUCGGCCAGAAGCUAGCAAGUGUGAAGUGAAUCUAAAACAUCGCCACAAACAUCUUUUCAAGCCAGAGAGUGGAGAGGAAGGAGAGGAGGAAGACUGGAUAGGAAGAAGAGUGAAAGAGAUUACAGAGCCUGCCAAUUUAUUAUUCCAAACAAUGUUUUUGAGAUAAAAUACAAAAAUGGGGCAAGUAAUGGGAAUCUGUUAAAAUACUUUGGUUAUCUAAUAGUGUACUAUUUAUUAAAGAUUGGAGAAGAAGAAGAAGAAGAAGGAAAAAUUAAGGGAGUAAAAAGAGUGAAGCGAGGAGAGUGUGGAAGAGUGAGGUGGGAAAGGAAGACGAGUGGAGAAAGAUUGGAGGAGAAGAAAAAGUUAAGAGAGUAAGAAGAGUGACACAAGGAGAGUGAAGAAGAGCUGACAGAGGAGGUACAAUGGCUCUUUCCAAGAAAUGGAAUUGCCAUUUUAAUGACAACAUGCUGAGAGACUUUCCAUUUAUACGCUCAGGUCAAGACGAUAGAAUGGUUAACUGCACCCUUUGUAAUUCUUCUUUUUCAAUGGGCAGCGGGGGAAGAACGGCAGUGGUAGAACAUCAACAGACAAAAAAGCAUAAAGCCUCUCUGAUUUCCCGUGUUGGUAUGCCCUCUGUCACCACAUUCUAAAAGAAGAAUAUGAUUUAGCUGUGCAGGAGGGUGUCUUUGCAUACCACACUAUGCGACACAAUCAUAGUUACAGAUCUAUGGACUGCACAGCACAACUGACACGAAAGCUUUAUGAGCCGAAGUUUACAUGUGCUAGGACAAAAUGUGAAGCCAUAGUGAGUAACGUGUUAGCUCCAUGGGCAACUACUUUGGUAACACAGGACCUAGACCAGGUUGAAUUUGUGUCCCUGUCCAUUGAUGUGUCCAAUCAUAGACAUGUAAAGCUGCUGCCAAUAGUAGUCAGAUAUUGUAAGAUAUAUGGUGGCAACACAUUUGUGGAAACAAAAUUGCUUGAGUUUGUUGAAUUGAAAGGAGAAACAGCAGAGGAGAUUGCAGCUGAGGUCCUGGUGGUCAUCCAAAAAUGUAACCUGCAAAAUAAAGUCAUGGCAUUCUCUGCCGACAACACAAAUACCAACUUUGGAGGACUGAAUAGGCUGGGGAGGGUCAAUGUCCUUACCAAAGUUAAAAGUGCUCUGCAGCGGGAGGUGAUUGGCUUAGGUUGUCCUGCCCACAUCAUUCAUAACAUGGCCAGAACAGCUUUGGAUAUGAUUCCCCUUGAUGUUGAGUACCUGCUCACAAAGAUAUUUGGAUAUUUUCACCGUCAGAGUAGAAAGACUGAAGAGCUUUUGUGAGUUUGUUGGCCAGGAGUACCAUAACAUUUUAGGACACAGCAAUGUUUGCUGGCUGUCCAUGCUCCCUGCGCUAGAAAGAGUGCUGAAAAGGUAUGUGCCAUUGAAAUCCUUUUUUCUGAAGACAAAUGUCCUGUUGUCCUGCGAACAAUGUUCGAAGAUCCACUGACUGAACUUUGGCUGGCCUUUGUCCAUGGUAACUUGACCGCAUUCAGUGACACGAUCAAGAUGCUUGAAAGCUAGGACCACUGGGCUGUGGAGUCAGCUGCAAUUCUGAGAAACGUUGAGGCAAAAUUGACUGCAAGAUGUGAUGACAACUUCAUUCCAGUUUUGGUCAGAGGACUUCUGAGAGAGCUAGAGGGAAAUGGAGCAAUGUCUAACAAGAGCUUUCUCAAAACAUCCCAAUCAUUCUUCACUACGGCUGUGAACUACUUGCAAGCAUGGGGAAAGCACACAGAUAAUCUAGAAGAUUUACAUUGUCUCCUUUUAAAAAGGCAAUCUCAGCGUGAAGAGAUCCAGAAGGCAGCAGGAAAAAUGCCCCAAUGUGACCAUCAAUGACGAUGCAUUGUUUGACGAUGUUACUGGCCUGCAAUAGUUCCUAAAGGGGGGGAUCGCUUGAAGCAUGGAAAACAUCUGAGACACCGCUUAGUCAGAGAUGGAGCCCGGUGGUUACCCACUUCAAAGAGAACGACAUCCCACACACUAACCUGGCUAGAUUAGCGUCUGCUGUCAUGUGCUUACCUGGAAGUAAUGCACCAGUCGAGAGAGUGUUCUCCCAAAUGAAUGAUAUAUGGACAGCAGCAAGAAAUAGGUUCACUGUUCCUACCAUCAAGGUCAUGCUUAUUGUGAAGACAAACUUCAACCUCCCCUGCCAGGAGUUCAUGGAGAAGCAUGCCAAAGACAGAGCAAUCCUGAAGGAGAUACAUUCUUCUGAGAAAUAUACAGAUUAGGUUGGUAUUAGUAUAUUAUGUAGUUACCAAUCUCAUCUUAUUUCUUUAUUAUGUUGGUAAGUAUUUCACAUAUACUAUUUUCUGUUUAAAUUUUGCUCAUGUUCUCUUCUGUUCUUAUUCUACCCAGACUACCAGGACCACUGAAUGGCUGUUCAGAUUGGACAGUUGUCUUGUCUGUAGUGUUUCUGUAAUAUAGUUGUUUUCUCUAUCACAGUGUGCCUGUUAGACUAAAUACAUGAAACUGGAA